rnacentral:lncRNA from 1 species
AGAAAAGUAACAAUAGCUGAAGGUACCGAAUAUUUCCUGUGUGCCAGGCACUGUGUGGAGCGCAGGCCAUCCCAUUUACCCUCCUAACAUGCCCAGAGAGGCGGACGAGUGGGUGAGGGAUGGAGCAGCCCGCCCACAGUCACGCUGCUGGGAGAGGGAGCAAGGAUGCAUACCCGCUGUCUGACUCCAGAGCCCAUGUUCAUCUAACUAUCGUGUGCGACAGCCAGCAGGUGCCAACUUAACAGUGACCUUAACAGUCACUGCUGUGUGAGUACUGGUUCCCUAACAAGGGGGAAAACUCAGAGCAAGCCCCAAUAUCUUACAUCUUUUGGAUCCUUGACAGCUCCAUCAGGUCUGUGUUCAUGGUGCAGGCUGACCAGAUGGUUCUUGACUGACUGCUCAGGAUAAGGGAGCCACAUUGUCUUGUGGUGCUCUGAGAAUCAAAAUACGCCUUACAAGGAGUAAAUCCUCUACACAGCUAGGACGAAACCGAGCCCAGGAAUAAUCUUAGGAUGGGGCCUUGGCAAGCCUAGCACACUGGCGGGUGGAUCUGAUCAUCCAAAGCUGCCAAGAACCAAUAGCUUAGGCAUAGUCACACCCCAUUUUCUCGAGCUACUUUACCUGUUGUACUGGAGAGUCAACGUUAAGUUCAGGGAUCAGGAGCCCCCACAUAGGGAUGUUUGAUUAAGAGCUAUGUGGUACUUUGAGACGAAAGAAGCUUGGAGCUGGGCCCGCUGUCAGGUGCUGAAGGUGGAGCUCUGAGCCGGAAUAUUGCCUGGGGCCUGGCACCUGAGAAAAUGGAAUUUUUCAGCCAGGUUAUAUAAAACAGACUCCUCAAGCUUGUUCCCAAGCUCAGACCUAAGCAGGAUUUUUCAACAUCCUCCUGGUUCCCUGCCCUCCAGUUAUGUACAAUAAUUAAACACUACAACCAAAUAUUAUCACAUCGUGGGAGCGGUGUCCAGGGCGAUCCUUGCAGACACAGCAUGUAAAGAAGCCCUGGCCAUUGCGGUCACAAUCCUGGGGACAAGGCAGGCCCAGCUCCAAGCUUCUCUCACCUGAAGCCCACCUCAGAGGCCUGAAGCAAGGAGCCCUACGUCACUCACAAGCCUUGAGGUGACAGGGCUCCUCCAGAGCUAGAGAAAGAUGGGAUGUGGCAAUGCCUGAACUAUUGCUCUUGGUGGCUUCAGAUGGACAGAAAGUCAAAGAGCCCCACUCUCAUCCCAGCCUUUGCCAACCGAGCCUCUGUGUAGGGAGCUCUACUUAGUUCAGCGUUUUUUGAGACUCUACUAAAUGCCCCAGCUGUGCCAGGCACUGUAGAAAAAAGGAUCAAUGUGCCACAGUUUGUGUCCUCAAUGGCCCUGUGGUUGGUGAGACAGAUGGGACUAUUAACCCAAGGACAGCGAUAAGAGCCCACUGCUCGCAUAGAGGAUUCACCAGAGUCUGCUUUUCUUGUGGCUUUGGACUUGAUGAGACUCUAAAGGAGGCCCUUUCUCUCUGAUGUCCCCUCUUU